ensembl:lncRNA
CUCCUGUCUGGUCGGUCUGGUCUCCUGUCUGGUCUCCUGUCUGAUCUCCUGUCUGAUCUCCUGUCUGGUCUCCUGUCUGGUCUCCUGUCUGGUUUCAUGUCUGGUGUCAUGUCUGGUCGGUCUGGUCUCCUGUCUGGUCUCCUGUCUGAUCUCCUGUCUGGUCUCCUGUCUGGUCUCCUGUCUGGUAGGUCUGGUCUACUGUCUGGUCUCCUGUCUGGUAGGUCUGGUCUCCUGUCUGGUCUCCUGACUGAUCUCCUGUCUGGUAGGUAUGGUCUCCUGUCUGGUCUCCUGUCUGAUUUCCUGUCUGGUUGGUCUGGUCUCCUGUCUGGUCAGUCUUGUCUCCUAUCUGGUCUCCUGUCUGGUAAGUCUGGUCUCCUGUCUGAUCGCCUGUAUGGUCUCCUUUCUGGUCGGUCAGUC